GUGCUUGCUUGGGCAGCACAUAUUCUAAAAUUAGAAGGAUCCAAAGAAGAUUAGCACUGCCCCUCUGCAAGGAUGACACACAAAUUCACAAAGCAUUCAAUAUUUAA